rnacentral:rRNA from 1 species
ACGCACGCUGGCGGCGUGCUUAACACAUGCAAGUCGAACGAAGAGCGACGGAAGCUUGCUUCUAUCAAUCUUAGUGGCGAACGGGUGAGUAACGCGUAAUCAACCUGCCCUUCAGAGGGGGACAACAGUUGGAAACGACUGCUAAUACCGCAUACGAUCUAAUCUCGGCAUCGAGGAUGGAUGAAAGGUGGCCUCUACAUGUAAGCUAUCACUGAAGGAGGGGAUUGCGUCUGAUUAGCUAGUUGGAGGGGUAACGGCCCACCAAGGCGAUGAUCAGUAGCCGGUCUGAGAGGAUGAACGGCCACAUUGGGACUGAGACACGGCCCAGACUCCUACGGGAGGCAGCAGUGGGGAAUCUUCCGCAAUGGACGAAAGUCUGACGGAGCAACGCCGCGUGAGUGACGACGGCCUUCGGGUUGUAAAGCUCUGUUAAUCGGGACGAAAGGCCUUCUUGCGAAUAGUGAGAAGGAUUGACGGUACCGGAAUAGAAAGCCACGGCUAACUACGU